GUUUCAUAAAGUUUUGAGUUUUCGUUUAGGUUUUAUAGGCUUUGGGGUAUGUUUGGCCACACCCCUUUUCUAAAUUACCCAUUUAAAGCUAACCAAAGGACAAAAUUCAACAUUUUUUUGAUAAUUAUUGAUCUAGAGAGUCCACAGAAUAUUACUGCAGUGGUUUGGUCCCGAUCGGACAAAAAACCUAGGACUAGUUCGCAAAAGUAGGUUUUUAACAUAUUUGUGAAUAACAAUUGAACGAUUUGAUUGACAGCAAUGGUUCUUGAGGCAAAGUUGUGCAUUAUGAGGAGAUCUAUCAAAUGAUAUGCAUAUUGUGUUGAUAUGUGAAACACCACGUGAUUACAGAGCCAUAAAACUCGUUAGCGCCAACUAGUGGCCGAUUUCUUUCAAAAUUCUUACAGACCUUAAGGUUCAUGAGUCGAACGUACCCAGUGAGUUUCGUUCCGAUCAACAUCCGUUAACCCUUUCAAAUAGGUGCUUAAAAUUGUUUGGCCAAUGGCGGCCAUGUUUUUUGAGAUAUGCAAAUGUCCUCAUAGGUACUUGUGCCCCUUCAGACCAAGACACUGCAUACCAAUUUUCAAGUCGAUCGAGCCAACGGUUGCCUAGUUAUAGACAUCUAUGUGUUUUUUCUAUCUUAUUGCGCCCCCAAGUGGCAGAGAUGCGCAAUUUUUUUUAUUUGACCAAAGAUUGAGCUCAUACAUAUGUGUACCAUGUUUGGUGAAGAUAUCUCAUUUCAUUAAUGAGUUAUAGCCUGUUGCGUAAAAUUGGUCCUCGACUUUCGAAUGUUUUGGCAUCCCAUUACGACAGUGAGUCGAAAUUUCUACUUUUUUUUGAUAAUUAUUGAUAUUCACUGGACAGAGAACAUUUCUGCAGUGGUUUGGUUCAGAUUGGGUGAAAAACCUAGGACUAGUUCGCAAAAGUAGGUUUUGGACAUACGUCAAAUUUGCGAAAAAAUGAGGCCUCCUAGACCCAAAAUCAGAGUGACCGUUUAUAAUUUCGCAUGACCCACGGAUUCCAGAAAUGUUAAAUUUUUGGCUCUAUCACAAGCGGUUUAGGAGCUAUUAGCAAAAACGCAUUUUUGAUCACUGUAGCGCCCCCCACUGGCCGAUUGGGCCGGAUCUUUGCGCCUGAGUAGCGAGCAAGACUACUACCUUUUGACCAAGUUUCAGCUCUCUAGGCCUUACGGUUUGGGCUGCCCGUUCAGUUUUAAGGCGGAAAAAUAAUAAUAAUAAUAAUAA